AACGAACGCUGGCGGCAUGCCUAACACAUGCAAGUCGAACGAGACCUUCGGGUCUAGUGGCGCACGGGUGCGUAACGCGUGGGAACCUGCCCUUAGGUUCGGAAUAACUCCCCGAAAGGGGUGCUAAUACCGGAUAAUGUCUUCGGACCAAAGAUUUAUCGCAUUUGGAUGGGCCCGCGUUGGAUUAGCUAGUUGUUAGGGUAAUAGCCUACCAAGGCGACGAUCCAUAGCUGGUCUGAGAGGAUGAUCAGCCACACUGGGACUGAGACACGGCCCAGACUCCUACGGGAGGCAGCAGUGGGGAAUAUUGGACAAUGGGCGAAAGCCUGAUCCAGCAAUGCCGCGUGAGUGAUGAAGGCCUUAGGGUUGUAAAGCGCUUUUACCCGGGAUGAUAAUGACAGUACCGGGAGAAUAAGCUCCGGCUAACUCCGUG
rnacentral:rRNA from 1 species